UUCGUCCGGUAGGUAAGGCUACCACAAGGAUAUGGGUUGCUGCCGCAAAGUCGUGGAGACACGAUUCGUUGGUUUGAGCAGUUGGUAUCGCCCUCAAGGUAUCAUCUAAUGCAACUUCACCGCCUUGUGAUGCUAAAGCUUGAACGGUGGGA
rnacentral:sRNA from 1 species